GCCGUGGGGGUUCAGUGGUAGAAUUCUCGCCUCCCGUGCAGGAGACCCAGGUUGGAUUCCUGGCCAAUGCA
rnacentral:tRNA from 1 species